rnacentral:rRNA from 1 species
UACGUAGGGGGCAAGCGUUGUCCGGAUUUAUUGGGCGUAAAGAGCGUGUAGUCGGCCAGGUAUGUCUGUUGUGAAAACUCGAGGCUCAACCUCGAGACGCCGAUGGAAACCAUCUGGCUAGAGUCCGGAAGAGGAGAGUGGAAUUCCCGGUGUAGCGGUGAAAUGCGCAGAUAUCGGGAAGAACACCCGUGGCUAAGGCGGCUCUCUAGUACGGUACUGACGAUGAGACGCGAAAGCGUGGGGAGCGAACAGG